rnacentral:rRNA from 1 species
GGGUAACGGCCUACCAAGUCGACGAUCAGUAGCCGGACUGAGAGGUUGAACGGCCACAUUGGGACUGAGACACGGCCCAGACUCCUACGGGAGGCAGCAGUGGGGGAUAUUGCGCAAUGGGGGAAACCCUGACGCAGCAACGCCGCGUGAAGGACGAAGGUUUUCGGAUUGUAAACUUCUUUUGUCAGGGACGAAGAAAUGACGGUACCUGACGAAUAAGCUCCGGCUAACUAC